rnacentral:rRNA from 1 species
ACGUACCUCUAGUGUGCCAGUUGUUCCGCCAGGAGCAUCGCUGGUUGGCUACGUACGGAAGGGAUAACCGCUGAAAGCAUCUAAGCGGGAAGCCUGUUUUAAGAUGAGGUUUCAUUAUUAGGUGCCCUAUAGACUAUGGGGUUGAUAGGCCAGAACUGGAAACACAGCAAUGUGAUGAGGUGACUGGUACUAAUCCACCAACACAAACAACAACA